AUUAUACCGCGAAACUGCGAAUGGCUCAUUAAAUCAGUUAUCGUUUAUUUGAUAGUACCUUACUACUUGGAUAACCGUGGUAAUUCUAGAGCUAAUACAUGCUUCAAAUCCCGACUCACGAAGGGGUGUAUUUAUUAGAUUAAAAACCAAUGCCCUCCGGGGCUCACUGGUGAUUCAUAAUAACUUCUCGAAUCGCAUGCCCUUGCGGCGGCGAUGGUUCAUUCAAAUUUCUGCCCUAUCAACUUUCGAUGGCAGGGUCUUGGCCUGCCAUGGUUACAACGGGUAACGGAGGGUUAGGGCUCGACCCCGGAGAAGGAGCCUGAGAAACGGCUACUACAUCCAAGGAAGGCAGCAGGCGCGCAAAUUACCCAAUCCCGAUACGGGGAGGUAGUGACAAUAAAUACUGAUACAGGGCUCUUUUGGGUCUUGUAAUUGGAAUGAGUACAAUUUAAAUCCCUUAACGAGGAACAAUUGGAGGGCAAGUCUGGUGCCAGCAGCCGCGGUAAUUCCAGCUCCAAUAGCGUAUAUUAAAGUUGUUGCAGUUAAAAAGCUCGUAGUUGAACCUUGGGCCUGGCUGGCCGGUCCGCCUCACCGCGUGCACUGGUUCGGCCGGGCCUUUCCCUCUGGGGACCCCCAUGCCCUUCACUGGUUGUGGCGGGGAGCCAGGACUUUUACUGUGAAAAAAUUAGAGUGUUCAAAGCAGGCCUAUGCUCGAAUAGUACAGCAUGGAAUAAUAGAAUAGGACGCGCGGUUCUAUUUUGUUGGGUUCUAGGACCGCCGUAAUGAUUAAUAGGCACAGUCGGGGGCAUCAGUAUUCAAUUGUCAGAGGUGAAAUUCUUGGAUUUAUUGAAGACUAACUACUGCGAAAGCAUUUGCCAAGGAUGUUUUCAUUAAUCAGGAACGAAAGUUAGGGGAUCGAAGACGAUCAGAUACCGUCGUAGUCUUAACCAUAAACUAUGCCGACUAGGGAUCGGACGGUGUUAUUUUUUGACCCGUUCGGCACCUUACGAGAAAUCAAAGUCUUUGGG
rnacentral:rRNA from 1 species